GACGAACGCUGGCGGCGUGCUUAACACAUGCAAGUCGAACGGAAAGGCCCUGCCUAUGUGGGGUGCUCGAGUGGCGAACGGGUGAGUAACACGUGAGUAACCUGCCCUUGACUUUGGGAUAACUUCAGGAAACUGGGGCUAAUACGGGAUAGGAGUUCCUGCUGCAUGGUGGGGGUGGGAAAGUUUCGGCGGUUGGGGAUGGACUCGCGGCUUAUCAGCUUGUUGGUGGGGUAGUGGCUUACCAAGGCGUUGACGGGUAGCCGGCCUGAGAGGGUGACCGGCCACAUUGGGACUGAGAGACGGCCCAGACUCCUACGGGAGGCAGCAGGGGGGAAUAUUGCACAAUGGGCGGAAGCCUGAUGCAGCAACGCCGCGUGCGGGAUGACGGCCUUCGGGUUGUAAAUCGCUUUCGCCUGUGACGAAGCGGGAGUGACGGUAAUGGGUAAAGAAGCACCGGCUAACUACGUG
rnacentral:rRNA from 1 species